UUUCCUUUUUCCUCCUCAGUUCUCCAUCUUACCGUCUGUUUUGCCUGCACUAUCCCCUCUUCCCUUGCACGUUCUUCUCCGCUUCGUACGUACGCCUCUGCGGUGGCCCACUCCCACACUCGCUCACGCUAACAUUUAACAGGGUAAUUAAUCAAUGCAGCUCAGGCUAACCCGGAAGGAUCCGCUCUAUUUUUAAUGGCCCUGUCACUGCGUGGGCAAACGACGCGAAAGUGUGGAGAUGAAGGCAACGAAAGAAUCCAGCGGGCAACAGGUAGCGUCGCUCAUCAGACAACAAGGGGAGCUUCAUCAGAGACAGAGAGGGUUCCCUUCACACAGUCCUCCGUAUUAGAAAAAGGGCUAUCAAGAGCAAGGCAACUGAAUCCAUGUAAGCCUCCCUCCAGAAGACAGCACCACCUUUAUAGCAGCAGAAAGCAACAUGUGGGCUGAUUCCAAAUCAACCCCAGGUCCCCGCAUCAGAGACGGUACAGGGCCAUUCUGAACUCCAGUCUCAGGCUCGCCGGUACAGCACGCUGGUCUCCAUGGACACGGUACACCCGCCCGGCGCGGUGGGCUUUCGUGAGUGACUGUGCACGCAGA